GCGGCCAUGGCGGAAUUGGUAGACGCGCUAGAUUCAGGUUCUAGUCGGGGCAACUUGGUGGAAGUUCGAGUCUUCUUGGCCGCA
rnacentral:tRNA from 1 species